GUCUCAAAUUGCCCAGUACUUAAAAGAGUUAAAAAGGUGGGACCACCACCGCCUGUGCUCUGAAGCUGUAAUCGAUUCUGGGGCAUAUUCUUGUUAUAUAGAUUCUGCACUUGUAUUGUUGAAUAAAAUUCCACUUGUUAAAAAGCAAAA